rnacentral:rRNA from 1 species
AUACGUAGGGGGCGAGCGUUGUCCGGAAUGAUUGGGCGUAAAGGGCGCGUAGGCGGCGCGGUAAGUCUGGAGUGAAAGUCCUGCUUUCAAGGUGGGAAUUGCUUUGGAUACUGCCGCGCUUGAGUGCAGGAGAGGUUAUCGGAAUUCCCGGUGUAGCGGUGAAAUGCGUAGAGAUCGGGAGGAACACCAGUGGCGAAGGCGGGUAACUGGACUGCAACUGACGCUGAGGCGCGAAAGUGUGGGGAGCAAACGGGAUUAGAUACCCUGGUAGUCCACACUGUAAACGAUGAAUGCUAGGUGUAAGAGGUAUCGACCCCUUUUGUGCCGGAGUCAACACAAUAAGCAUUCCGCCUGGGGAGUACGGCCGCAAGGUUGAAACUCAAAGGAAUUGACGGGG